GAUGAACGCUAGCGGCAGGCCUAAUACAUGCAAGUCGAACGGGUGGUCGCAAGACCACUAGUGGCGCACGGGUGCGUAACGCGUAACCAACCUGCCCCGAUCUGGGGGAUAGCCCGCCGAAAGGCGGAUUAAUACCGCAUAUACCCGCAGCCUGGCAUCAGGCAACGGGGAAAGAUUUAUUGGAUCGGGAUGGGGUUGCGUGACAUUAGCUAGUUGGCGGGGUAAGGGCCCACCAAGGCGACGAUGUCUAGGGGACCUGAGAGGGUGAUCCCCCACACUGGCACGGAGAUACGGGCCAGACGCCUACGGGAGGCAGCAGUAGGGAAGAUGGGGCAAUGAGCGAGAGCCUGACCCAGCCAGGCCGAGGGACGGAUGAAGGCCUUCUGGGUUGUAAACGGCUUUUCUCAGGGAAGAAAAAGAGCUAGCGAGGUACACUGACGGUACCUGAGGAAUAAGCACCGGCUAACUACGUG
rnacentral:rRNA from 1 species